rnacentral:tRNA from 2 species
GGCAGGAUAGUUUAGCGGUAAAACACUACAUCCUUGUUCACCCCUUGCCUAACUCGGCCGAAGAAUGAGGGUUAUCGAUUGAUUAUCGGAUAUAGGUGGGUUCGACUCCCACUCCUGCCA